rnacentral:rRNA from 1 species
UGACCGAGCAACGCCGCGUGGGUGAUGACGGUCUGUGGAUUGUAAAACCCUUUUGUGAGGGACGAAUUUUGACGGUACCUCACGAAUAAGCAUCGGCUAACUCCGUGCCAGCAGCCGCGGUAAUACGGGGGAUGCAAGCGUUAUUCGGAAUUAUUGGGCGUAAAGCGUACGUAGGUGGUUUGCCAAGUCUGGGGUUAAAGCCCGCAGCUUAACUGCGGAACAGCCCUGGAAACUGGCAGACUCGAGUGCGGCAGGGGCAAGGGGAAUUCCACAUGUAGCGGUGAAAUGCAUAGAUAUGUGGAGGAACACCUGUGGCGAAAGCGCCUUGCUGGGCCGCAACUGACGCUGAGGUACGAAAGCCAGGGGAGCA